CAGCCGCCGGGUAAUACGAGGGGGGCAAGCGUUGUUCGGAAUUAUUGGGCGUAAAGGGUGCGUAGGCGGUUUCGCAAGUCUUGUGUGAAAUCUAUGGGCUCAACCCAUAGUCUGCACAGGAAACUGCGAGGCUUGAGGAUGGGAGAGGUGAGUGGAAUUUCCGGUGUAGCGGUGAAAUGCGUAGAUAUCGGAAGGAACACCUGUGGCGAAAGCGGCUCACUGGACCAUUUCUGACGCUGAUGCACGAAAGCUAGGGGAGCAAACAGGAUUAGAUACCCCCGUAGUCCCUGUCUCUUAUACA
rnacentral:rRNA from 1 species